GUAGGUGAACCUGCGGAAGGAUCAUUAACACUAUAUUUGAACCAAUCUCAACUUACUGGAUUUCAUUUCAGUAUUUUACACCCACCCCCCACACUUGUGAACCUUUGUUUGGAAAAUGCUCAUUUGGUUGACCAUUUCCGCUUUUUUUUUCUUUUCUUUUUUAAACAAGUAAAAAAAAAACCCAAUUGAACUAAUUUGACUGAAAUCUUUGUUUGGUCUGCGAAAGCAAAUCAACACAAAACAAAAAAGAGAAAAACGUGAAAAAACAACUCUUAGCAACGGAUAUCUUGGCUCUC
rnacentral:misc_RNA from 1 species